AACGAACGCUGGCGGCAUGCCUAACACAUGCAAGUCGAACGAGACCUUCGGGUCUAGUGGCGAACGGGUGCGUAACGCGUGGGAACCUGCCCUUAGGUUCGGAAUAACUCCCCGAAAGGGGUGCUAAUACCAGAUAAUGUCUUCGGACCAAAGAUUUAUCGCCUUUGGAUGGGCCCGCGUUGGAUUAGCUAGUUGGUAGGGUAAAAGCCUACCAAGGCGACGAUCCAUAGCUGGUCUGAGAGGAUGAUCAGCCACACUGGGACUGAGACACGGCCCAGACUCCUACGGGAGGCAGCAGUGGGGAAUAUUGGACAAUGGGCGAAAGCCUGAUCCAGCAAUGCCGCGUGAGUGAUGAAGGCCCUAGGGUUGUAAAGCUCUUUUACCCGGGAUGAUAAUGACAGUACCGGGAGAAUAAGCUCCGGCUAACUCCGUG
rnacentral:rRNA from 1 species